UACGGAGGGUGCAAGCAUUGAUCGGAAUUACUGGGCGUAAAGGGCGCGUAGGCGGUUAGAAAAGUCAGAUGUGAAAUUCCGGGGCUCAACCUCGGAGCUGCAUUUGAAACUCUCUAGCUAGAGUACAGUUAGGGUAAACGGAAUUCCACGUGUAGCGGUGAAAUGCGUAGAUAUGUGGAAGAACACCGGUGGUGAAGACGGUUUACUGGGCUGUAACUGACGCUGAGGCGCGAAAGCAUGGGGAUCAAACAGG
rnacentral:misc_RNA from 1 species